rnacentral:lncRNA from 1 species
AUUCUCGGAUUCUGGGAAACAAAGAAUUGGCAGUACACCUGAAAAAUGACCAGAAGGAGGAUGUACUGGGUCCCCAGGUCUUCUGGUGGCCUUGUGAAUCUCGGCUUGGAUGUAGAUGAUGACAUGGUUUCGGGACUUAGCUAUAAAACAAUAACUGUUGAAGACGGCCCCUGGAGACAGCAGGUGAGGGAAUGCGAGGCACCAGAGAGAGGGAAGUAUGAUGCUGCCUGGAAAACCAUGAUUCCCUUCCGCCCGAAGCCAAAGUCUCCCGAGCCCCAGCCCCUGGAUGAUGCUGGCCUGCUCUCCUACCUCACGCUGUCAUGGCUCAGCCCGCUCAUGUUUCGAGGUUUUCGAAGAUGCUUAGAUGAGAACAGCAUCCCCCCGCUGUCAGUACACGAUGCUGCCGACAAAAAUGCCAAAAGGCUUCGUCGUCUCUGGGAAGAAGAAGUCUCAAGGCAUGGAAUUGACAAAGCUUCAGUGCUUCGAGUGAUGCUGCGAUUCCAAAGAACAAGGCUUAUUUUUGAUACAAUUAUGAGCUGCUGCUUCUCCAUCGCAAGUGUUGUGGGGCCCAUGCUUGUUGUACCAAAGAUCCUGGAAUACGCCGAAAACCCAUCUGGGGACGUUGCCUAUGGAGUUGGGCUUUGCCUUGCCCUUUUUUUCACGGAAUGUCUGAAGUCUCUGAGCAUGUGCUCAUGCUGGGUCAUCAACCAGCGCACAGGAGUCAGGUUUCGUGCAGCUGUCUUCUCCUUUGCCUUUGAGAAGCUGAUGCAAUUUAAGUCUCUAACACACAUCACUGUGGGAGAGGCCAUUAGCUUCUUCACCAGCGACGUAAACUAUCUGUUCGAGGGAGUGUACUACGGGCCCCUGGCCGUGCUCACCAGCUCAGUGUUGACAGUCUGCAGCAUUACCUCUUGCUUCAUUCUCGGGCCCACAGCGCUCAUUGCCACGCUGUGCUAUCUUCUGUUUUUGCCACUGCAGGUAUUCCUGACCAGAAAGAUUGUGGAGUCACAGAAUCAUACAUCAGAGGUCAGUGACCAGCGCAUCCGCAUGACCAGUGAAGUUCUCACCAGCAUUAAGUUGAUUAAAAUGUACGCCUGGGAGAAGCCAUUUACAAAAGUCAUUAAAGAUCUCAGAAAAAAGGAAACAAAGCUCUUGGAGAAGUGUGGGUUUAUCCAGAGCCUGACCACAGUCAUCUUGUUCCUAGCCCCCUCCGUAUCUGUAGUAUCGCUGUUCCUCACCCACACAGGUUUACGACUGAAACUCACAACUUCAGUAGCCUUCAGCACCGUGGCCACCUUGAGUCCCAUGCGGCUGUUGGUGUUCUUCACACCCUUCGCAGUCAAAGGCCUCACAAACUCCGUGUCUGCCGCCGACAGGUUCAAGAAAUUUUUCCUCCAAGAGAGCCCUGUCAUAUAUGUUAAGGCAUUGGAAGACCCCAGCAAACCAGUGGUUUUAGAGGAGGCCACAUUGUCAUGGAGAAAGACUUGCCCUGGGAUCGUCAAUGGAGCCUUGGAGGUGGAGAAGAGCAGAUACACUCCUGAGGGGAUGACCAGAGCUCAGCCACCCCUGGGUGGCCUUGAGCCAGAGGAUCAGGGGGACACCCGGGGCCCAGAGUUGCACAAGAUAAACCUGGCGGUGUCAAAGGGUACCAUGCUAGGGGUCUGCGGCAACACGGGGAGUGGCAAGAGCAGCCUGCUGUCAGCCAUCCUGGGGCAGAUGCACUUGCUGGAGGGUUCAGUGGGGGUGCACGGAAGCCUGGCCUAUGUCCCCCAGCAGGCCUGGAUCAUCAACGGGAGUGUCCGGGAGAACAUCCUCAUGGGAAGCCAAUACGACAAGGCCUGGUAUCUCCAGGUGCUCCACUGCUGCUCCCUGCACCACGACCUGGAGAUUCUGCCCUUCGGAGACAUGACGGAGGUUGGGGAGCGGGGCCUCAACCUCUCGGGGGGGCAGAAGCAGAGGAUCAGCCUGGCCCGGGCCGUCUACUCUGAUCGUGAGCUCUACCUGCUGGAUGACCCACUCUCGGCCUUGGACGCCCAUGUGGGGAAGUAUAUCUUUGAGGAGUGCUUUAAGAAGGUGCUCAGAAGGAAGACCGUCAUCCUGGUGACCCAUCAUCUGCAGUAUUUAGAGUUUUGUGACCAGAUCAUUUUAUUUGAAGAUGGGAAAAUCUGUGAAAAAGGAAUUCACAGUGAGCUCAUGCAGAAAAGGGGACGAUAUGCCCAGCUUAUCCAGAAGAUGCACGGGAAAGCCACACAGGGUGUGUUGCGGGGAGUGGCAAAGACAGAAGAGGACCUGCAGCUGGAAGCUCAGGCCCAGACCACUUGCCAGGAAGAACUUCUCAAUGAAACUGCUGUGCUGGAAAAUCAGCUUGCAAAGAAGGAGAAGAUGGAAGAAGGGUCCUUGAAGUGGACAGUCUACCACCGCUACAUCCAGGCAGGCGGAGGUUACCUGAUCUGCGGCGUGGUUUUCCUUCUCAUGGUGAUGGUAGUCUUCUUGCUGGUGUUCAACUUCUGGUGGCUGAGCUACUGGCUGGGGCAGGGCUCAGGGAAAAAUAGCAGUCAAGAGAGCAACUGGACCACUGCAGACCCCGGUGACAUACUGGACAAUCCUCAGCUGCCCUUUUACCAACUGGUGUUUGGCCUCAGCAGCCUGUUUGCAGUCUUCCUGGGCAUCUUGCUCUCAGUGGUUUUCACCAAGGUGAUGGGGAAGGCAUCCACAGCAUUGCACAACAAGCUCUUCAACAAGGUGUCCCACUGCCCUAUGAGCUUCUUUGACACAACCCCAACUGGCCGGCUCCUGAACUGCUUUGCAGGGGACAUGGAUGAACUGGAUCAGUUCUUGCCCAUCGUGGCUGAACAGUCUAUGCUCCUGUCUUUGCUGGUGAUCAUCAUCCUCCUGGUAAUCAGUUUCCUAUCUCCCUAUAUCCUGCUGAUUGGAGUCAUCAUCUUCUCUGCUUGCCUCGUUUAUUUUAGGAUGUUCAAGAGGGCCAUCAGUGUGUUCAAGAGACUGAAGAACUACAGCUGCUCCCCUUUGUUUUCACACAUCCUCGCCACCCUGCAGGGCCUGAGCUCCAUCCAUGUCUAUGGAAAAACUGAAGAAUUCAUCAAUGAGUUUAAGAAGCUGGCAGACAUGCAGAAUAACUACCUGCUGAUGUUCAUGUCUUCCAUGCGGUGGGUGGCCUUGAGGCUGGAGAUCAUGACCAACCUGGUGACCUUGGUGGUAGCCCUGUUUUUGGUUUUCGGCCUUUCCUCUGCCCCCUAUUCCUAUAAAGCCAUGGCUCUCAGCCUCGUCCUGCAGCUGGCGUCCAACUUCCAGGCCAGUGCCCGGAUUGCUUCAGAGACAGAGGGGUGCUUGACAGCUGCGGAGAGGAUUCUGCAGUACAUGAAGAUGUGUGUCCCUGAGGCUCCUUUACACAUAGAAGGCGCGAACUGUCCUCAUGGGUGGCCACAGCAUGGGGAAAUCACGUUCCAGGAUUACCAGAUGAAAUACAGAGACAACACACCCAUCGUCCUCCACGGCCUCAGCCUGACGAUUCACAGCCAGGAAGUGGUGGGCAUCGUGGGAAGGACAGGCUCUGGGAAGUCCUCCUUGGGGGUGGCUCUUUUCCGCCUGGUGGAACCAGCCGGUGGCCGCAUCCUCAUCGAUGGCGUGGACAUCUGUAGCCUUGGCCUGGAGGACCUGCGGUCCAAGUUCUCGGUUAUCCCUCAAGAUCCAGUCCUGCUGUCGGGGACCAUCAGAUUCAACCUGGACCCCUUUGACCGCUGCACGGACGAGCAGAUCUGGGAUGCCUUGGAGAGGACGUUCCUGAACAAGACGAUCUCAAAGUUGCCACAAGGCCUGCAAGCAGAAGUUGUGGAAAAUGGCUCAAACUUCUCCGUGGGGGAGCGGCAGCUGCUCUGCAUUGCCCGGGCCCUCCUCCGCAGCUCCAAGAUCAUCCUUAUUGAUGAGGCCACGGCCUCCCUUGACUUGGAGACAGACAUCCUCAUCCAACACACAAUCCGUGAAAGUUUCCGGGGCUGCACAGUGCUGAUCAUCGCACACCGCGUCACCACCAUCCUCAACUGCGACCGCAUCCUAGUCAUGGGCAACGGGAAGGUGGUGGAGUUUGACAAGCCUGAGGUCCUGCAGAAGAAGCCGGGGUCCAUGUUCGCAGCCCUGCUGGCAACAGCCAGUAGUUCGAUGAGCUGA